CGUCCUGGUGAGCUUCACCUCCGAGCUGCCCUCCUCCGAGCCUGUGGGCAGAAGCGAAGAGUGCUUGGCUUUAAAAGACGUGCAAGAAAUUGUAAUUGUUAUGUUGACAGGAAGAAGCUCUGAGAGCUGAGUCCUGUUGACAGCAUUUCAUGAUAAAAGACAAGAUGGGUGGCAACUCUCUGUAAAUAUAAAUUAAUGUAAAACACCAUUCGCAAGAGAAAAGCCCCUAAUCGGAAACAAGCACACAAAGCAUUUCUCUGGGUUGUGAAUGUCAGUGAAGGUGAAGAUACUUCGGAAGCUGUGUUUAUGCUGUUUGGCAAUAUGUGCAAGAAAUGUGACGGUCAUCAUUAUGUGUCUCCUUAGACGUGAAGCCAGGAACAGUGCAGGCAACAGUGUGAAUUAGUGUUAGCCAAGGACUUCAGCAGCAUUCUUCUGUGUGAUGAUGAUGAUGAUGAUGAUAAUGGAAAACGUGCUGGUGUGCCUGGAUACCCUUGUGUCACAAACCUUACGAUAGCUUUGCAAUCAGGUCAAUGAUGGCAAAAAGAAAAUAGCCCUCGAGUAGGAUAUGGAUGAAUCAUUUAGUGCUGAGUGCACAGGGAGGAUCCUGUAAUGUAGAGCAUGACAAGAAGAGCAUUAAAAUGUCAUAAACAAAAUGCUGAGGGCAAAAAAAUGAUCCCUAGGUGACUCUAUGUCUGAGGAAUGGGUUUAUGUGGGCAUAUGACAGCAUGGGCUUGAGUUGAGCAUCUGUACACAUACGAGUCAACAGGUCUAUCCAGACUCAAAGUCAUUCUCCAUCCGCAGAGUCGCCCGCUAGGGUGAUCAUCGCCUGCAGCAAGCGCAUUUAAAGUAGCCCAUUUAAAAUAUUAGGCUGAACUUUUAUCAAAACGCAUUUAGCAUCAGCAAAAUGGAGUAAGAAUCAGGUCAAGGCGCCCGUCACGCCUGCCCGCAGUUCCCUCACAUCUGAUACCCAGUCAUGCUAAUUUUUUUCCAGAUCGGAAAGAACCUCCCCAUGUUUCUUUCGGGAGGGGGAAUUUUAGUUCUGAGCCAUGGCCGGCUACGUGCUACUAACACAUAGCUAGCCUGCUCCAGUGCGGCCAAAAGGCACACAGCCACUGGCUGAAGCGCACUGCGGAGGCAGCCCACACUGUGCUGCAGUGAGAGAUGUUAGGGGUGGCUGGCGGGCCUCCUGGUGAAUGUCAAUGACGCCGCCCAUUCAGCACCUCAAUUCAGAUCUCUGUGUGGGAUUCCAGUCAGGCGCGCACCUCUCCAGAGCUGCAGAGAAGUCACAAGAUAAUCCAGGUCUGUGUGAGAUCCGGGCCUCAGCCUGCCAGCACGCUUUACAAAAAGCUAAAUAAAAACCAAGGGUCGGAAAACAAGAAGCUUAUGGUAUUCACAGCACACUGCGCGAUAGCCAACUGGCUAACAGGGCAAAAUGGAUCCUCCCCUAUUGGAAUCUGCCCUUCUGAGGACAUAAUUAGCAAAAUGUGACCUGAAAUUAGCAGUAACAAACUCACACUCAGCAGCUCCACCUCCUGAUAACACGUUUCACGCUUCGAGGCGGGAGUGACAUUUCUGCAGUCUUCAACUCAUGGCACCAAACAACUGCCUACAUACAGUGCUGAGUUUGCCGAGGGCGACACUCUCUGGCACUUAAGCACCCAUCCUGGAAAAUGGGUCCUGGGAUGGGAAAGCUACUGUCAAAGCGGAGGAGAAUGGUCCCAUUUGGCCGGCCAACAGCAACCCCCCCACCCGACAGUGCACAACACCGCCUCUGAAGCCAUUCUCCACCACAAUGCAUGUGUGUGUGUGUGUGUGUGUGUGUGCAUUCACGCAAAGAGGGAGUUGGCCCGGUGGGUAGGCUUGAGGGUGUCCUGCGUGCCUCCAGGGCCUUCUGCAAAGAGCCGCCCCGCCACAGCCGGGCCAGGACACGGGAGUCAGAGAUACCGGCUUGCAGAGGACCCCGCUGAUAUAAUUAGCAACUAAUUAGCAUUCCCCAAGCUUCCGUCAGCACUGCGUUAAUGAGCGGCAGAGGAGAAAGGGAGAGGAGAGGGAAAGAGGAGGGGAACGGAGUGUGUGUGCGGAUGCAUGUGUUGGGGGUGUGAGGAAGAAGCAGAGAGGGGAAAACGGAGACUGAUGGAGCUCAAAGACAACAGGAGUAGCCUUCAACUGGCCAUCUGUGCCCAAAUAUGGAGAGCUACACACAACCGUCCGCAAGUUAUUUCUUACUGCCCCCGAGGGUCUGUUCCUGUCAUCAAAGUGUAAACAGAAACCAAAAUCCCAACACCACUGUUUAAUACAACUUUUACAGCCCCCUGCCACCAAGAAAAAAUAUGUUAAUAGUGUCAAAGUGGGAGAGUCCAGAAGAAGCAACAGAAAAUUAUAUGUAAACAACCAAAAAACCAGAGGAACUCCAGACAACAAAUCUUACGAGAAAAAGCUGAAAUUUUAAAUGUCCCGUGUGCCUAAACUUUGAUACAUAAAUCAGGUUUAUGAUGCCAGUGUGUAAUUUCUGAAAUCUUAAUGUUUCCAUGGCUGCUCAGGGGAAUCAGACCUGAUAGGACAGUAAGGAGCCUUCCAGUUUGGGGGGGCCCAACACUGCAGGUUUGAGGGAAGCUGGAGAAGCAGCUGGAAUGCUCCUGAUUAGUCGCUCCAAGCUUCGGUGAUGAAUCCCUUUCUUGUCUCAUCCCAGAAACGAUAUUUGAGGGCAAACCAGACGCAAAAAAGGGAAAGGCAGAGCCGUGAACGUGGGCGGCUACCAGGAACACCCCCUUCUGCGCUUUGUCAGCCAUGUCACAGUGUCCCCUGACCUUACAGGCAGUGCACUGGAAACGCGGGGGAAGGGCUGCCAUUUUAGUUGUUUUUUUUUGGAUAGUUAAAUAUUUGUUCUUAUGACCAUAGUUACAUUUUUAAAAAAUUAAACAUACUUUCAUCUCUAUUGAUCUGUGGAUAUAUCACUCUGAUAAAUAGUGUAAAACUGAAAUAAUUUUUCAGGAAACACUGAACUCACUCAAACUCCAGCAGCAAAACUUUAAUCUUAAAUCUUUAAUCUUUCUUAAAUCAUUUGAAUUCAUAAGAGCUUUUUACUGUCUGGAUUGAUAUUACAGGUAUUUUGUCAGAUCCUUAUGUUUAGCUAACACUCUUGUCUAUGCCUGUAAAAACCAAAUAUUUUGAAUGGAUGGUCAGGACAGUGAAGCUAACUGGCUCCAUACAGACGACCAUAUAGGCCAACAAUUUCCAAACAUUUUGAAAGUUAUCUGAGUUCUUCUGGGUAUCGAGUGCACUCCACUUGGGACUCAGCUGGGGGGUGGCAGGGACAGAGGGAGGGUGGUCUUGACGGACAAAUUCCGGAGAACGUUUUUUCAGCUUUGCCUGUCACCAGGAGAUCAUCCCACGUUGCGCUUCUUUUCUUUCAGGGUGUUUUUUUUUUGCCUUUUUUUUCGCCUCUCAUAGUUAAGAGAUUAAAAUAACAAGGGGUGCUGAGAAGCGUUCCCUGGGUUGGGAGAGGAGCAGAGAGAGAGGGAAGACAGACAGCUUGAGGAACCCCACACCCUGGCCUAAGAUUUCGGAUUGUGGCAGCAGGAAGUGGCCCCCCCCCCCCCCCAUAAUUGGAUCCUCUCUUUGUUGAUCUGACCAGCUGAACCUGUGUGAAGGUUAGUCCGAGCCCCCCACUGUUCUAAGGUCCCAUGUAAUCCCAGGUUGAGCUAUAAUCAGCUUUACCAGGCACUAGGGGGUUCAACCAAAGACCAUCAGCAACCAGAUUAAAUUAAUUUAUCCCUUUUGCUGUCAACUCCAAACAGAACUACAGACCGAACCAGGCAUCUGGUUACAAGAAUGCUGUCAAUACAUUUAAAUAUCUCUACAAGUGAAUAAGCUGGUUAUGGAUAACUGUCUCUCUUUUCAGCUUAGAAGUAAUACAUCCAUUUUCUAAACCCUGCAUAUGUCCUACGUUCUGUAACUAUCUUACACAAAAAGCAGUGACUUAUUCAGCUGCUGUGAUUAUUGGUUCAUGCUCACACAAAACAUCCUCCAUGCCAACUGGCUACACCCCGUUACUUCUCAUGCAUUUUCUAAAGCCUCCAGAUGGAUAAACGAAGUCUCCAUUGAUGGGAAAACUCCUCAGGUAAUAAAGGCCAGGUGUCAACUGGCUCAAACCCAGCCUGGGGACAGUCGGACAGACACCAACUGUAUCCUUUGAUGAGUGCCAGGAGGAAGGCAGGGACACCGUGGUCACAGCCCAAGGGGCCCAUAAGCCGCUGGAUCACAGACAGGCUGACACCCUCAAAAGCAUAAAACCUGGCGCUGAAGCUUUCCUUCCUCGGUGUGUAUUCCGAGAAACUUGCUUUCCAUGCCGGAAGCAUAUCUGCAGAUACUUGGUGCGUCACCGAGCUUGGUGUAAACUUCAAGCAGGCCCGACCCGCGAGGAGUGUAAAGGCAGUCAGCCCACCAGAUGUGCUGUCUCUGGCCCGUCUUCCAUUGCGCUGUGAUCCCACACACUCACAUAUGCCACUGUGUGCUGUUAGGCGGCGUCACAAACCCUAGACUCAUUAAAAUACUUUUUGCGCUCCGCUCUUCCUGCUCCGACGGAGAGAACGCCCAUGCAAAAAUGUGGCGGCUCCCCCAACCCAUUUCUCCGGCUCCCAAUUCCAGUGCUGAGGAUGAAUGACUGAGAAAAAUCUAUGGGAACUCCUCAGACAUGUCUGGGACAACUGAGAAGAUGGGGUAGUGCACCAAGUUUAUCUUGGAUGCAAGUACACAAAUUAAAAAUAGGAGAAACAGCCAAAACACUAAUAUUUAACACAUUUAGAUUAACCAAAUAAACUAGAAAGUAAAUUACAUGCAACAGAAAGAAAGGGUUUGGGCUUUCUGCCACGCAAACCUCUUAGCACAGUUACUUGUAAAUCUGUUAUCUGGUACAACACUAAAUAGUGAUACUCUUCAGGAUGACCUUCAGGACUUUUCCUGGAAGGCGACUGAAAAAAACACUGAGGCCUGUUUGUCGAUGGAAACGCUGCAAAGACCUGUCACCUGAUGAUACUGGGUAAGAGUCACAUGGAAACACAUCGCAGGUUGACAAUCCUAAAUAAACAUACAGCCAGGUGACCUAAUGAGAUCUGGUACACAGGAAACUCCCUCAGUAAAACACUUAAUUCUAUACUUAGACAGUAAUUCUAAUCCAUAGUGUAAAUCUUGGUAAGUACUCAUCUAUUUUAGUAGCAAUUCAAUCUAGGCUUUGAGGAAAGUCUUGGUUGCAUUUCUAUCAAUAUAAAAUUACAAAAAGCAAGAGGUCUUUAUUUGCCUAGUAAUAUUAGAGCAUACCAAGGACACAGGUACACUACAUUAAGGUGCAAAAUGUGACUUCAAAUUUCAAGCAAUUUUAGAAUUCAUAAGAAAAGCCAGGAAGAGGUAAGAAAGACGAGGCGUCACAAUGCAAGGAAUGAUAUAAACCAGGUUAUUUCUCUAUGUGGGCUCUUCUGAUCUCUGUAUCAGUGACACUCCAGAUUAAACCAUGUAACAUAAAUAAACAGAAAAUUUUGCAAUGA